CAUGAACUCACAGACGUAGAAUCUACAGUGGACCGAUCCAACUGGGUUCUUAUGGCACUGAUGUAUGAUUAAAAAGUGGAUAUUUAUUAGUUGCAUAAUCGUCCUAUGCAUAUUAUAUUUAUAAAAAGUGGAUAUUUAUAUUUUUGUCACUAUGGUUUUGAUCUGGGCUUGGAUAUGGGCUGGGUUACAAUAGAUAGACAUCUAAUCCAUGACGAACUCAAAUGUCAAUCUGUGAUGGUUUAUUUCAUCUCUAUUGCCCUUUGCUAUUUUGUUGUGACAAGUUUAUCCAUGACGAACGAGAUUACCAAUCAUUGACGGUUCAUUUCGCUCCAACAAAUGUAUG
rnacentral:lncRNA from 1 species